AGCGAACGCUGGCGGCAGGCCUAACACAUGCAAGUCGAACGAAGUCUUCGGACUUAGUGGCGGACGGGUGAGUAACACGUGGGAACGUACCUUUUGGUUCGGAACAACUCAGGGGAACUUGAGCUAAUACCGGAUGAGCCCUUAGGGGGAAAGAUUUAUCGCCGAAAGAGCGGCCCGCGUUAGAUUAGCUAGUUGGUGAGGUAAAGGCUCACCAAGGCUACGAUCUAUAGCUGGUCUGAGAGGAUGUUCAGCCACACUGGGACUGAGACACGGCCCAGACUCCUACGGGAGGCAGCAGUGGGGAAUCUUGCGCAAUGGGCGAAAGCCUGACGCAGCCAUGCCGCGUGAAUGAUGAAGGUCUUAGGAUUGUAAAAUUCUUUUACCAGGGACGAUAAUGACGGUACCUGGAGAAAAAGCCCCGGCUAACUUCGUGCCAGCCGCCGCCGUAAGAC
rnacentral:rRNA from 1 species